rnacentral:rRNA from 1 species
GACGAACGCUGGCGGCGUGCUUAACACAUGCAAGUCGAACGGAAAGGCCCUGCUUUUGUGGGGUGCUCGAGUGGCGAACGGGUGAGUAACACGUGAGUAACCUGCCCUUGACUUUGGGAUAACUUCAGGAAACUGGGGCUAAUACCGGAUAGGAGCUCCUGCUGCAUGGUGGGGGUUGGAAAGUUUCGGCGGUUGGGGAUGGACUCGCGGCUUAUCAGCUUGUUGGUGGGGUAGUGGCUUACCAAGGCUUUGACGGGUAGCCGGCCUGAGAGGGUGACCGGCCACAUUGGGACUGAGAUACGGCCCAGACUCCUACGGGAGGCAGCAGUGGGGAAUAUUGCACAAUGGGCGGAAGCCUGAUGCAGCAACGCCGCGUGCGGGAUGACGGCCUUCGGGUUGUAAACCGCUUUCGCCUGUGACGAAGCGUGAGUGACGGUAAUGGGUAAAGAAGCACCGGCUAACUACGUGCCAGCAGCCGCGGUGAUACGUAGGGUGCGAGCGUUGUCCGGAUUUAUUGGGCGUAAAGGGCUCGUAGGUGGUUGAUCGCGUCGGAAGUGUAAUCUUGGGGCUUAACCCUGAGCGUGCUUUCGAUACGGGUUGACUUGAGGAAGGUAGGGGAGAAUGGAAUUCCUGGUGGAGCGGUGGAAUGCGCAGAUAUCAGGAGGAACACCAGUGGCGAAGGCGGUUCUCUGGGCCUUUCCUGACGCUGAGGAGCGAAAGCGUGGGGAGCGAACAGGCUUAGAUACCCUGGUAGUCCACGCUGUAAACGGUGGGUACUAGGUGUGGGGUCCAUUCCACGGGUUCCGUGCCGUAGCUAACGCUUUAAGUACCCCGCCUGGGGAGUACGGCCGCAAGGCUAAAACUCAAAGGAAUUGACGGGGCCCCGCACAAGCGGCGGAGCAUGCGGAUUAAUUCGAUGCAACGCGUAGAACCUUACCUGGGUUUGACAUGGAUCGGGAGUGCUCAGAGAUGGGUGUGCCUCUUUUGGGGUCGGUUCACAGGCGGUGCAUGCCUGUCGUCAGCUCGUGUCGUGAGAUGUUGGGUUAAGUCCCGCAACGAGCGCAACCCUUGUUCACUGUUGCCAGCACGUUAUGGUGGGGACUCAGUGGAGACCGCCGGGGUCAACUCGGAGGAAGGUGGGGAUGACGUCAAGUCAUCAUGCCCCUUAUGUCCAGGGCUUCACGCAUGCUACAAUGGCUGGUACAGAGAGUGGCGAGCCUGUGAGGGUGAGCGAAUCUCGGAAAGCCGGUCUCAGUUCGGAUUGGGGUCUGCAACUCGACCUCAUGAAGUCGGAGUCGCUAGUAAUCGCAGAUCAGCAACGCUGCGGUGAAUACGUUCCCGGGGC